CGACAAGCUAAGCAAGGGCGUAUGGGGAAUGCCUAGGCUCCCAGAGGCGAUGAAGGACGUGGUAAGCUGCGAAAAGUCAUGGGGAACUGCACACGAGUGUUGAUCCGUGAAUAUCCGAAUGGGGCAACCCGCUAUGUUGAAGGCAUAGCAUCGAAAGAGGCCAACCCGCUGAACUGAAACAUCUAAGUAGGCGGAGGAAAAGAAAACAAGAGUGAUUCCGAGAGUAGUGGCGAGCGAAAUCGGAACAGCCCAAACCAGUGUUGUUUCGGCAAUACUGGGGUUGUAGGACCACGCUGUUCUCUGCGCGACGAACCAGAACACUUUGGAAAGAGUGGCCGUAGACGGUGAUAGCCCGGUACGGGUAAGGGACGUUAGAGAUAGUGGUAUCCUGAGUAGGACGGGGCACGUGAAACCCUGUUUGAAUCCGGCGGGACCAUCCGCCAAGGCUAAAUACUCCUGGGAGACCGAUAGUGAACCAGUACCGUGAGGGAAAGGUGAAAAGAACCCUAANNNNNNNNNNNNNNNNNNNNNNNNNNNNNNNNNNNNNNNNNNNNNNNNNNNNNNNNNNNNNNNNNNNNNNNNNNNNNNNNNNNNNNNNNNNNNNNCUAAACAAGGGAGUGAAAUAGAUCCUGAAACCAUACGCCUACAAGCGGUCGGAGCCCUUCGGGGUGACGGCGUGCCUUUUGCAUAAUGAGCCUACGAGUUACUUUUACUGGCAAGGUUAAGCACUUCAGGUGCGGAUCCGUAGCGAAAGCGAGUCUGAAUAGGGCGCCAUAGUCAGUAGUAGUAGACGCGAAACCGUGCGAUCUACCCAUGGGCAGGUUGAAGCUGUGGUAACACAUAGUGGAGGACCGAACCCGUUGACGUUGAAAAGUCUUGGGAUGACCUGUGGGUAGGGGUGAAAGGCCAAUCAAGCUCGGAAAUAGCUCGUACUCCCCGAAAUGCAUUUAGGUGCAGCGUUGAUUUAGUUUUAUAGAGGUAGAGCUACUGAUUGGAUGCGGGGGCUUCACCGCCUACCAAUUCCUGACAAACUCCGAAUGCUAUAAAAUGAUGAUCAGCAGUGAGGGCAUGGGUGCUAAGGUCCAUGUCCGAAAGGGAAAGAACCCGGACCAUCAGCUAAGGUCCCCAAAUAUGUGCUAAGUUGACAAAACGCGGUGGGACUGCAUAGACAGCCAGGAUGUUGGCUUGGAAGCAGCCAUUCAUUUAAAGAGUGCGUAACAGCUCACUGGUCGAGCGGUCCCGCAUGGAUAAUGAUCGGGCAUAAGCACAUUACCGAAGCUAUGGACUCCAAUGGAGUGGUAGGGGAGCAUUGUAGUGCCGCUGAAGGUGUACUGUGAGGUAUGCUGGAGGAGCUACAAACGAAAAUGUAGGCAUAAGUAACGAUAAUGCGGGCGAGAAACCCGCACGCCGAAAGACCAAGGUUUCCCCAGCUAUGCUAAUCAGCUGGGGGUCAGUCGGGACCUAACACGAACCCGAAAGGGGUAGUGGAUGGACAACAGGUUAAUAUUCCUGUACCUGCUAUACACUAAAAGUGACGGGGUAUCGGAGUUGGUGCGCACUGACGGAAUAGUGCGUUGAAGCGCAAGCGAUAGUACACCAAGGCCACGGCCGCGGUGAUAAUCCAGCGUAGAUACCUCCAAGAAAAGCGAGUAUAGCGGCCCGUACCGUAAACCGACACAGGUGGUUGGGAUGAGUAUUCUAAGGCGCUCGAGAGAUUCAUGGCUAAGGAACUAGGCAAAAUAGACGCGUAACUUCGGGAGAAGCGUCGCCUGCUUCGGCAGGCCGCAGUGAAAAGGUCCAGGCGACUGUUUAUCAAAAACACAGGGCUAUGCCAAUUCGAAAGAAGACGUAUAUGGCCUGACACCUGCCCGGUGCCGGAAGGUUAAAGGGAGAUGUUAGCUUAGGUGAAGCAUUGAACUGAAGCCCCGGUAAACGGCGGCCGUAACUAUAACGGUCCUAAGGUAGCGAAAUUCCUUGUCGGGUAAGUUCCGACCUGCACGAAUGGUGCAACGAUCUGGACACUGUCUCAGCCAUGAUCUCGGUGAAAUUGUAGUAUCGGUGAAGAUGCCGGUUACCCGCAGUGGGACGAAAAGACCCCGUGCACCUUUACUAUAGCUUCGUAUUGACCCUGGGCAAGGGAUGUGUAGGAUAGCUGGGAGGAUUUGAAGGCGUGUCGCCAGGCAUGUUGGAUCCAUUGUUGAAAUACCAGCCUUCGUUUGUCCGGGGCCUAACCUCUAACGAGGAACAGUGCGUGGUGGGUAGUUUGACUGGGGUGGUCGCCUCCAAAAGAGUAACGGAGGCUUCCAAAGGUGUCCUCAGCACGCUUGGUAACCGUGCGUAGAGUGCAAUGGCACAAGGACGCUUGACUGUGAGACAUACAGGUCGAACAGGUACGAAAGUAGGGCAUAGUGAUCCGGUGGUUCCGCAUGGAAGGGCCAUCGCUCAAAGGAUAAAAGGUACGCCGGGGAUAACAGGCUGAUCUCCCCCAAGAGCUCACAUCGACGGGGGGGUUUGGCACCUCGAUGUCGGCUCGUCACAUCCUGGGGCUGGAGAAGGUCCCAAGGGUUGGGCUGUUCGCCCAUUAAAGUGGCACGCGAGCUGGGUUCAGAACGUCGUGAGACAGUUCGGUCUCUAUCUACUGCGGGCGUUAGAAAAUUGAGUGGAUCUGACUCUAGUACGAGAGGACCGAGUUGGACUGACCGCUGGUGCACCAGUUGUUCCGCCAGGGGCAUUGCUGGGUAGCUAAGUCGGGAUGGGAUAAGCGCUGAAAGCAUAUAAGCGCGAAACCCGCCACAAGAUGGGUUUUCUUUAAAGGACCGUGGGAGACUACCACGUUGAUAGGCUAUAGGUGUAAGGGCAGUGAUGUCCGUAGCCGAGUAGUACUAAUUGUCCGUAGGCUUGCGCAC
rnacentral:rRNA from 1 species